AGGCCGUUCGUCGGGUGCCGUAGGGGGGCUGAGGCGACCAGGGGCCUCCUCGGCUGCGGGGCCCGGCAGCUGCCCCUCGGGUGGCUCCUGCGUCCCCACCGCAGCCUUGUGCGCCUCCUGCUCGGAGUCAUCGUCGGUGCUGCUGCCCAGGCCCCGCGCCUCCCGCCGCUUCUUCCGUUUGCGGUUGACCGCAGAGAUGAAGGAGAUCGCCAGCAUCUCCCGGGCGUAAGGCUCUUUCUUGGGGACCCAGGAACCCUGUGCAAGGAGACAGCGAGGAUAAGGAAGCUUCAAUUCAGAAAGAGUCACCCAACAUCAUAAAAUAAGUAGUAAAGUCAGGACUUCUGCCACGAGAGCUGUUCUCAAGUCACGCUGCUCCUCAGCUACCGCAACCCGAGACCACCAGCCUCUUCUACAUCAGAUGCCUUCCACGCACCACCAGGGUCAGCUUCUCUCCGCUCCCCAUCCCUGCCCCUAGACACUCAGUAUUUCCCAACUUCCAUCCCACCCUCAACCCAAAAGCCCCCAGUCCAACUUCCGUCCUCUUGACCACAAACUACAGUGGGCUGCCUUGUCCAGGCAAACCACAUUUGGGAAGCCAUGGUACUAACCUUGGACUUGGCUGAGCUACAGGUGGUGGAAUCUGCUGGCAAAAGAAAGAAAACUGAAGUUAGACCAAGAAAGAUCAAAGGUUCAAGGGUGAAGGCCUUUGUUCUCCCCAGACCCUAGGAGGGCCACUGGCUCGGCUGGCAUUUCCUAUGGGUUGUCCCCAUCAGAAGAUGUUGUUAGCCACCACUUCUUUUAGAGGCAGGAAGUGACAUCAGGCUGCGGGCCACUGAGUCUUCACUUGCCCAGGGUUAAGGACAAAGGGGGCUUUUUCUCUACAUCUGGCUCCUCCUCUCCCAACCCCCCUGCCCCCAUGACACUGAAGCACUGGAGAGAAAAUGCCAGUUUCGGAUGCAGUCCACAGAAACCACAAUGGGGCGACACAGCACAUCACAGAUACUCUGAAGAGAUGGAGACGACACAGUGCAGGAGGAGGUGUGUGCCCCACUCCCACCCCACGAGAAGGAAAAGGGCCCCACUAAGUUAUCAGGGGUCUGCAAGCAGAGGGAGGCGUCAGUCUCCCAGAUCGUUAGCCCCCCCAGGCCUCUCAAGAAGUGGCAGCUUGAUGACAGGGCUCAUGUCCUCCAUGAGUGGGGCUCUCUCAGUGGGGAUGCCCUGAGAAUAGGCCUGACAGAUCUCCCACAGGCAGAAGCUGGAAGGCUCCCUCAGCUAAGAACAUGGGCUUUGCUUCUCCCAUCAGACUGGACUAUCCUACAUGCUAAAUACUGGGUUUCUCGGAGUUUGACCUGUAUCACCCCCAUCAGACUGCUGUGUCUCCUCCGUCAGACUGUAAGUGCCUUGGGCCCAGAAUCUUCCCUUGGUUAAAUUUUUUUUUUUAAGAUUUCAUUUUUACGUUAACUUUUUUUUUUUUUUUUUUAGCUUUCGCGAGUAAUUUAAUGUCUAUCACAACUAAUUCCAGAAAAAAAUUUCCACCCCAAUAGGAUUCUUUUAAAAUUUCCACCCCAAUAGGAUUCUUUGUACCUCUUAAAUAUUCCUUCCUGGCCCCUCCCCCCCUUACGUUAACUUUUUAUAUGUCUGGGUAGUUUGACUACAUGUAUAUAUGUGCAUCAGACUGCAACCCCCUCCCAUAUUUGGGAUACAGAUGGCCAUGAGCUGCCACAUGGGUCCUGGGACUCAAACCUAGGUCCUCUGGGAGAGCAGCAAAUACUCUUAAUCACCGAGUCAUCUCUCCAGUCUCAGCAUUCAAUAUAUGUAAUUAUCUAUGUCUGAGUGUGGCUUUGUGCACUUGAGUAUAGUGCCCAGAGAGGCCAGAAGGGCCGGGCAUCGGAAGUUCUGAACUGGAGGUGGUUAUGAGAACUGGACGUGGAUGCUAGAAACCACAUUCACGUUCUCCGCAGGAACUGUAGGUAACCUUAACCUCUAAGCCUUCUCUCCUCCACCACACCCGUUUGAAUCUUGCUGCACGCCCUCCCCAAGGAGGGUCAUCUCAGACCAGACCACGCCCACCUGCUCAACACCUCAGACCAGACACCACCCACCCUCUAGUCACUUACUCUCUCUCCUUUGUCCUCAUCAUCACUGAAGAACCAGUCAGACUGCAGAGGAGACAAAAGACGGGGUGAAAUUAGUGUGGAGGGAGCUGAGAGUUGUCGGCUUCUUAACCUUCAGGCUAAAGGACCCACAGUCCCAAAGGUGAUCCCUCCUUCAAGUAAGUCCUAAGAGAGGAGGCUCAGGCAGCCUCCACGAGUUCUGAGAAACCCUUACAGGGAGACAAAAUGAGACCACAUGUGGGAAGGAACCGAUCAGUGCUAGGGAGAGCCCACCACUAGCUUGCUACUGGUCCCGGGUGCCUCACUAUGGUGUACGCCUCAUAGCCAGCCAGAAAAAGCCUGGUCGGCAGCGCCCUCUAGUGGAUGCUAGGUGCACUGAUCGUGUUGGGGAACCAGAACACAGCUGGAGCUGAGGGUGCAGGGGCCUCAUCUCCCACCAUCCCCGGCUCCACACUGACAGCUGGGGUGUCACACUCUAUCCAGUGAGAGAAAAUGCCUGGAAACAAGUGUUAGCUUCCAUCAGAGUCAGACAGGCAAGACCUUUUUCAUAAAUGCUAAACACACUUGA